AACACAUUUAGGAUGCUUGUGUGAUCUGGUCAGAUAUGAGAAUGGCCCUUUUAGCUCGAGUGGACCUAGGAGACCUAAAGUUAUGCCAAAAAUUAAACUCAAGAUGAUUGCUCGUAUUUAUUUUUCCACAAGAGAAAAUUGGUAAUAAUAGCGCACAAUGUCGAGUAAAUUUCUCAUUAUUUUUUUAUUGGCUAAGCCUCUCAAGGUCUUCCUCACUGCCUACCACAUAUCCCAUUUAAGAGCAGUUUCUGCUCAUCGGGCAUAACACUAACCCAGUUUAUUUUGGUAUGUCGGAUGGAAUUCUCCAUAACAAGUAUGACAGGAGGUUACAGGUUCAGAAAGCCAAUGGACUAUGUAUGGUAUGGUCUGGCUUUUCCUGUUUUAUUUUGUCCCCAUCUUUCUUAAAUAUCUUGUUCCUUGGAUAUGAAAGUUCUGAGAUUGUUUUCUCUCAGCAACAUUGUUUUCUGCCGUUGCAGGGAGAUGCCUCGCAGGGUAGUUGAAGGGAAGUACUUUGUGAAUUGAAACGAAGACAAUAAUCCAUUAGAAAGAGAACUCGAAUCGUCAUUAUCAUAUACUUGUGCCUAAUCUAGCAAUGACCAAUUUUGGCCAGAAAUAUCUAAUGUGAAUAUCGGCUGUCCUAUGUGAUACAAUCACCAUAUCAGCAAUUUAUAGCCAAAAUUAGCUAAAAU
rnacentral:lncRNA from 1 species